rnacentral:pre_miRNA from 1 species
UCCUUCAUGUAUAUAUGUCACUCAAACAACCCAUCCUUUUAUGAUGUGGGAUGUUUCCUCACAUAUAAAUCCUCCAGGGAGAUUGUUGAGGAUUUACAUGUGAGGAAACAUCUCACAUCAUAAAAGGAUGGGUUGUUUGAGUGGCAUAUAUACAUGAAGGA